GCCAUUGACAGGAGUCCAUGAAAUCAAAGUAGGCUUUUUUGACAUAACAAUGCACUCUGAUGUUAAGAAAAAAUAAGGAAGGUAUUGCACAUUUCUAUAACAUCUCAAUAUAAAGGGAUAUCAGAAAAUACAACAGUCCAUGGUGUUAAUAUCCAUGAGACCUACCAGGCACACACAACCAGAACAAGUGUUAAAUCAUGAUUUACAUUGCAAUUUGAUCAUACAAAGCUUUUGUUCAAUGUCAAUUUAGGCGUGGAUUCAGUCCAAUAUUGUAUUUUAAUGUUUGCAGAGUUCUAUUCACAGUAAAUGCUGCAGCUGUUGGCUGGAUCAGGAAUUGCAUUGAAGAGCCGCAGCGCCGCUUCAGAUUGAAUGCAGACCUUGAACAAGUUGCUUUCACCAAAGCAAUCACUUAAAUAACAAGUGCCAUGAAUUGUACUCAUCAAAAUGAACCCACUACAGACUGAAAGGCAACCAAUUAAAAAGCCUCAAAGAUGUUAACAGUAAAAGAAAAACAAAGUAACCUAACAGGGAGAAUAUGCAAUGACAUUCUGUAGUAAGGCUUUACAAAAAAAAGGCAAGCUUAAACUCAAGCCAAAUGUGUCUGGUUCAGUGAGGACAUGAUGUUUGUUUGUUGGUGUAAAUAAGCUGUCUUGAACAACUUUAUUUUAAUGAGCAAAGAUAAUGUAAUAAUAAUAUUUGAACUAUCCAACAGGGCUUCAGAGGGGAGAUUUAAAAGCCGAAAGCCAUUUCCUGCAUGGAUUCUAAUUAAUAGCUACCCACGGAACAGACUCCUAAGGGCAAUUUUGUCACUAUCCUCACAAUUCAUGCGAAAGAGAGAAAUGGAUGUUUACUAGUACCAAAAAACAGUGGCAUUUAAAGUAUGCAAAUUAAAUAUGGCAGUAGUGCAGGUCCAUAGAAUCCCAGUCAUGACGAGAUGAACACCAAUAACCACUGUUAAUAGCUUAGAGUCCAGUAUAUGGCCAUCAUAUACACUUUUUAAAGAAUAAAUAAUUACAGGAAAAAACUGCUCUGACCAAUGAAAUUCCCCUCAAAUAUACAUAAACACAUCGUGAUUGAGGCAUAGAAAACCCACAGAAGUCAUAAAACAGAUAAAUGUAGAGUUUACCAAAAAGGCUGAAACUCAAAAAUGUAACAUGGUAAAUUUUGAGCCGUAAAAGAUUACAUAAAUGACGUGACUAUGUCGAGCAAUUGAACAGGACCCACAUUUUAAACAUGAAUAAUGUGACAGAUCAAACACUGACAUCACCGACAAGUUGUUGCCAAUGACUUUAAAAGUGCUUACACAGGGAACUGGACCACAAGGGGUUAAGCCAAACACACCGUGACCUAUCAAGCCUUGUGGAAGUUAUGGCACAAGGUUUCACCAUCAACU
ensembl:lncRNA